AUGCUGCCGAGAUCUCUGGAGCAAGGUAUAAAGCCCAGCCCUCAGCACUGCAGGGACAGGCAGAACACACACUUCCGGUGGACCAGCUGGCUUCUAAAGAGGAGAGGGGACCAACCCACAUAUGCUUGGUUCUUCCUUCCCAGCUUCUCUCAGGUAAGUCACGUUUCCUCUUCCCCAGGUAGAGAGAGGCCAGGAGUAUUAUUAUUAUUAUUUUUUUUUUUUUUUUUUUGAGACGGAGUCUCGCUCUGUCGCCCUGGCUGGAGUGCAGUGGCCGGAUCUCAGCUCACUGCAAGCUCCGCCUCCCGGGUUUACGCCAUUCUCCUGCCUCAGCCUCCCGAGUAGCUGGGACUACAGGCGCCUGCCACCUCGCCCGGCUAGUUUUUUUGUAUUUUUUAGUAGAGACGGGGUUUCACCAUAUUAGCCAGGAUAGUCUUGAUCUCCUGACCUCGUGAUCCGCCCGUCUCGGCCUCCCAAAGUGCUGGGAUUACAGGCUUGAGCCACCGUGCCCGGCCGCCAGGAGUAUUAUUAAUAGAAGUCCCAUUUUCAGGCAAACAUGACGAGUAGGAAAUACAUAUUCCUUCCCUACAGAGAACUCCACCUUCUCAGAAUUCUCUUUUAGCAAGACUGAGUGAGAGUGUGUGUGUGUGUGUGUGUGAGAGAGAGAGAGACAGAGAGAUGGAGAGAGAUAGAGAGACAGAAAGAGAGAGACAGAAAGAGAGAGAGAGAGAGAGAGACAGUGAGCAGUAAACCCUUCUGCAAGCCCUUCCUGACCCCCAGCCAGGGGGACCCGCCCAUCUCUCUGUGGCCUGUUCCCCAUCCUCCACCCCUGUUCUUCCAGCCACAGCUUCCCUGCCAUUCCUGUGCUGGGAACCGACUUCUCUUUUCUUUUGUCUGCCUCCUACUGGUGUGAGGUAGGAUAUGCCAAUUUCCCUCCUUUUAUCCUUUAUUCCUUCUCAUGUGGAAAAGCAACCAUGACUUUUAGCCAGCAUAAGGCUAUAUUUUCUAGCCUUCUUUGCUGCUAGGCAUGGCCAUGUGGUUAAGUUUUGGCCAAUGAGGUGUAAGCAGAAGUGGUGUAACAGACCCCUUGGAACUGCACCUGUAGGGAAAUGGCAUACCCCUUUUUGUCUCUUUCCUGGUGGCUGGCAUGUGAACAUAAGGGCUGGGGCCUGAGCAGCUAUCUUAGACCACGAAGUAGCAGCUGUGCAGUGAAGGCCGUGAAGGAGCAAAAUAGGAGCCUGGGUACCUAACAAGUUUGUGGAACCACAAUACCAAGACUGUGUUGUUCUCUGCCAACUACUUCGUUUAUGUGAGAGAAACACAUUUCUUUCUUAUUUAAGCCACUGCUCUUUGGAGGUUUCUGUGACUUGCAGCCGAACCUAAUCCUAACUAAUAGAAAAUGUGUGUGGGUGAUAGCAGGUUUACAGAUGUCUAGAUGCAGACACAUGUUUGCAAG
rnacentral:lncRNA from 1 species